rnacentral:rRNA from 1 species
GGUAACACUAACUGGAGGACCGAACCGACUAAUGUUGAAAAAUUAGCGGAUGACCUGUGGCUGGGGGUGAAAGGCCAAUCAAACCGGGAGAUAGCUGGUUCUCCCCGAAAGCUAUUUAGGUAGCGCCUCGUGAAUUCAUCUCCGGGGGUAGAGCACUGUUUCGGCUAGGGGGCCAUCCCGGCUUACCAACCCGAUGCAAACUGCGAAUACCGGAGAAUGUUAUCACGGGAGACACACGGCGGGUGCUAACGUCCGUCGUGAAGAGGGAAACAACCCAGACCGCCAGCUAAGGUCCCAAAGUCAUGGUUAAGUGGGAAACGAUGUGGGAAGGCCCAGACAGCCAGGAUGUUGGCUUAGAAGCAGCCAUCAUUUAAAGAAAGCGUAAUAGCUCACUGGUCGAGUCGGCCUGCGCGGAAGAUGUAACGGGGCUAAACCAUGCACCGAAGCUGCGGCAGCGACACUGUGUGUUGUUGGGUAGGGGAGCGUUCUGUAAGCCUGUGAAGGUGUGUCGUGAGGCAUGCUGGAGGUAUCAGAAGUGCGAAUGCUGACAUAAGUAACGAUAAAGCGGGUGAAAAGCCCGCUCGCCGGAAGACCAAGGGUUCCUGUCCAACGUUAAUCGGGGCAGGGUGAGUCGACCCCUAAGGCGAGGCCGAAAGGCGUAGUCGAUGGGAAACGGGUUAAUAUUCCCGUACUUGGUGUUACUGCGAAGGGGGGACGGAGAAGGCUAUGUUGGCCGGGCGACGGUUGUCCCGGUUUAAGCGUGUAGGUGUGUGUUCCAGGUAAAUCCGGUUCACUUUAACACUGAGGCGUGACGACGAGGCACUACGGUGCUGAAGCAACAAAUGCCCUGCUUCCAGGAAAAGCCUCUAAGCAUCAGGUAACAUCAAAUCGUACCCCAAACCGACACAGGUGGUCAGGUAGAGAAUACCAAGGCGCUUGAGAGAACUCGGGUGAAGGAACUAGGCAAAAUGGUGCCGUAACUUCGGGAGAAGGCACGCUGACACGUAGGUGAAGUGAUUUACUCAUGGAGCUGAAGUCAGUCGAAGAUACCAGCUGGCUGCAACUGUUUAUUAAAAACACAGCACUGUGCAAACACGAAAGUGGACGUAUACGGUGUGACGCCUGCCCGGUGCCGGAAGGUUAAUUGAUGGGGUCAGCGCAAGCGAAGCUCCUGAUCGAAGCCCCGGUAAACGGCGGCCGUAACUAUAACGGUCCUAAGGUAGCGAAAUUCCUUGUCGGGUAAGUUCCGACCUGCACGAAUGGCGUAAUGAUGGCCAGGCUGUCUCCACCCGAGACUCAGUGAAAUUGAACUCGCUGUGAAGAUGCAGUGUACCCGCGGCAAGACGGAAAGACCCCGUGAACCUUUACUAUAGCUUGACACUGAACAUUGAGCCUUGAUGUGUAGGAUAGGUGGGAGGCUUUGAAGUGUGGACGCCAGUCUGCAUGGAGCCGACCUUGAAAUACCACCCUUUAAUGUUUGAUGUUCUAACGUGGACCCGUUACCCGGGUUGCGGACAGUGUCUGGUGGGUAGUUUGACUGGGGCGGUCUCCUCCUAAAGAGUAACGGAGGAGCACGAAGGUUGGCUAAUCCUGGUCGGACAUCAGGAGGUUAGUGCAAUGGCAUAAGCCAGCUUGACUGCGAGCGUGACGGCGCGAGCAGGUGCGAAAGCAGGUCAUAGUGAUCCGGUGGUUCUGAAUGGAAGGGCCAUCGCUCAACGGAUAAAAGGUACUCCGGGGAUAACAGGCUGAUACCGCCCAAGAGUUCAUAUCGACGGCGGUGUUUGGCACCUCGAUGUCGGCUCAUCACAUCCUGGGGCUGAAGUAGGUCCCAAGGGUAUGGCUGUUCGCCAUUUAAAGUGGUACGCGAGCUGGGUUUAGAACGUCGUGAGACAGUUCGGUCCCUAUCUGCCGUGGGCGCUGGAGAACUGAGGGGGGCUGCUCCUAGUACGAGAGGACCGGAGUGGACGCAUCACUGGUGUUCGGGUUGUCAUGCCAAUGGCACUGCCCGGUAGCUAAAUGCGGAAGAGAUAAGUGCUGAAAGCAUCUAAGCACGAAACUUGCCCCGAGAUGAGUUCUCCCUGAGACUUAGAGUCUCCUGAAGGAACGUUGAAGACGACGACGUUGAUAGGCCGGGUGUGUA